UACAGAGGUGGCAAGCGUUGUUCGGAAUUACUGGGCGUAAAGGGCGAGUAGGUGGCCAUCUAAGUCAGACGUGAAAUCCCCCGGCUUAACCUGGGAACUGCGUCUGAUACUGGACGGCUUGAGUAUGGGAGAGGAACGUAGAAUUCCAGGUGUAGCGGUGAAAUGCGUAGAUAUCUGGAGGAACACCGGUGGCGAAAGCGGCAUCCUGGACCGAGAUUGACGCUGAUGCGCGAAAGCCAGGGGAGCAAACGGG
rnacentral:rRNA from 1 species